GACUCAGUCGUGUAGUGGUAGAGCACGUGUUUCCGGAUGCGAUGAAACGUGGGUUCGACUCCCGCCUGAGGCC